rnacentral:tRNA from 1 species
GUGCCCGUAGCUCAGCUGGAUAGAGCGUCUGCCUCCGGAGUAGAAGGUCGUGGGUUCGAAUCCCGCCGGGCACACCA